GGCUCACAUUUUUGCGAGUUAUUCAGAUGUGAAAGUGGGACUCAUGUCUGGUUAUCCACGUUUCUUAAAUAAGUCAAAGAUCACUUGGUCGUUUCAGUUUUUGUACAAAAUAGUUCACACUAAGUAAUGGAAAAACUGCUCUUUUGACUCUGAAAUUUAACCUCACUUAUUACUCCUAUGAAUAGUAACUCAAAUUCAGCUAAGAGUUCCUUCUCCAACAUGAUUUAAUAGAAGGUAUUAAUUACCUGCAUACUUCUUGAUCAGUUUGCUAUCUUCGGUACACCGCACAGGUUCUCUGUGAUGUAGACCACCCUAUGAACUUACUUAGGCGCCCUUUCACGGGGCAGAGAAAUCAGUACAGCCCUUAUAAGUGAAUUCAUCAUGUGUUCUGAAUUAUGGUUUUCUGUGUUACCAAUUCAAAAAUACCAAAUUAAAGGACCUUAAUUUAAAGCAAAAUUUGAAAAAUAAAAUUUGAAUGUGGCCUGGAGGUUUAUAAUGGAAUGUAAUCUAUUAACUCCACAUGCCCUUUUAGAUUUGUAAUGUUUAACCAGAGGUAUACUUUCGUAUCACUUAGGGAGCUUUUUCAAAAUCUACAUGUCUGAGCCCCUUCCCUACAGAAUCUGAUUUAGGGACUUCCCGCGUGGUCCAGCGGUUAAGACUCCAGGCUUCCACUGCAGGGGGCGUGGGUUCGAUCCCUGGUUGAGGAACUAAGAUCCCGCAUGAUGCAUGGCGUGGCCAAAAACAAAAUCUAAUCGAGUACAGCUGAGGUGGAGAGGCCAGGCAAGUCCAUUCGACAAAAGUUCCCCAGGUAAUUCUAGUGUGUCCCCAGGUUAGGAAUCUGUUGUACAAGAUUGGCCAUAUGUUGGUAGCUGUUGAUAAUCUUUACUGAGUGUGCUAUGGUGUCUAUAGGCUGAAGUCACAGGAAUGGGGUUGCUUUAUCAGUGGUUCAUGUACAUUUUAAUAGAUGUUGCCACAUUGCUUUCCAAAAAUCCUGCAACAACACACAUCUCCACCAGCCAGUACUGCUCUUCGAUAUAAGCAAGAGGGGCUCCUGCCCUGGGCCCUGCACUUUAGAUGACCCUCAUAUCACAGUUAAACAAAACAGUUGCUUUAUUGCAGAUCCAUGGGGCAUCUCUGUCACUCAGCAGUGACACAGCAUUACCCAUAGCCCUCAUCAUCCACUCUUGUGACAAAUACCAUUCAGCCCCCAGGGAAGUGCUUCUCUGCAUCUCUUGCUCUAUGUCUUGGAAGUAGAGACCACCUGAGUCAAAAGGUUUGUGGAAUAUGCCACUGCUGACAUCAGAACUAGACCCUGUUUUGGAGUGUGGGGAAGACUUGAACAGCAGAAGGACUUAGAUUACUGAAAAUGUGUACAAGUCAAGAUUUUGAUAGAAAAAGAAUACUAAAGUGGAAUUCACAAAAGAAAAAAAAGCUAAAAGGAAGAAAAGAAGUAAAAGAUCUUCAAAGAAACAGUCUGCUUUAAAAGUAAGCACUCUUAGACUUCCCUGGUGGCUCAGUGGUAAAGAAUCCACCUGCCAACGCAGGGGACACAGGUUCAAUCCUGGUCCGGGAAGAUCCCACAUGCCGCGGAGCAACUAAGCCCGUGCGCCACAACUACUGAGCCUGAGCUCUAGAGCCCGCGAGCCACACCUGCUGAACCCGCACGCCACAACUACCAAAGCCCAUGCGCCUAGAGCCUGUGCUCCAGACCGAGAGAAGCCACCACAAUGAGAAGCCUGCGCACCGAAAUGAAGAGAAGCCCUGCUCGCUGCAACCAAGAAAGCCCACAAGCAGCAACAAAGACCCAAUGCAGCCAAAAAAUAAAUAAAUGAAUAAAAAUUAGAGAAAAAAAAAAAGUAAGCAGUCUUCUUCCAGGAUGACCCACAUAAAAU